GAUGAAGAACGCAGCGAAAUGCGAUACGUAGUGUGAAUUGCAGAAUUCAGUGAAUCAUCGAAUCUUUGAACGCACAUUGCGCCCGCCAGCACUCUGGCGGGCAUGCCUGUUCGAGCGUCAUUUCAACCAUCAAGCCCCAAGGGGCUUGUGCUGGGGCCCUGCGGCUGCCCGCAGGCCCUGAAAACCAGUGGCGGGCUCGCUAGUCACACCGAGCGCAGUAGCACAUCUCGCUCAGGGCGUGCGGCGGGCUCCUGCCGUGAAACCCCCCACUGUAACCCCAAAGGUUGACCUCGGAUCAGGUAGGAAUACCCGCUGAACUUAAGCAUAUCAAUAAGCGGAGGA
rnacentral:misc_RNA from 1 species